GUAGGAUACGGCGACAUGGCCCCUGUUACAAUCCCCGGAAAGAUAGUGGGCUCGUUUUGUGCGGUCAGUGGUGUACUCAUGAUCGCCCUACCGGUACCGGUGAUAGUUAAUAAU